AUUGAACGCUGGCGGCAGGCUUAACACAUGCAAGUCGAGCGGGGUGAUGGUGCUUGCACUAUCACUUAGCGGCGGACGGGUGAGUAAUGCUUAGGAAUCUGCCUAUUAGUGGGGGACAACAUCUCGAAAGGGAUGCUAAUACCGCAUACGUCCUACGGGAGAAAGCAGGGGAUCACUUGUGACCUUGCGCUAAUAGAUGAGCCUAAGUCGGAUUAGCUAGUUGGUGGGGUAAAGGCCUACCAAGGCGACGAUCUGUAGCGGGUCUGAGAGGAUUAGCCGCCAACCUGGGACAGAGACACGGCCCAGACUCCUACGGGAGGAAGCAGUGGGGAAUAUUGGACAAUGGGGGGAACCCUGAUCCAGCCAUGCCGCGUGUGUGAAGAAGGCCUUAUGGUUGUAAAGCACUUUAAGCGAGGAGGAGGCUACUCUAGUUAAUACCUAGGGAUAGUGGACGUUACUCGCAGAAUAAGCACCGGCUAACUCUGUGCCAGCCGCCGCAGUAA
rnacentral:rRNA from 1 species